GAGAGAGAGAAAACAGGAAAACAUUUGUGACAGUUCUACAGCAGACUGUGAAGGCACAGAAGAGGGAGAGCUGGAAGGACUGUAAGUGCUGGUGGGCGGAGAGGAGGAGGCUGAGCAGCUUCACUCAAGCACCAUAGCACCUUCUUUUUUUUUUAAAGGAAGGCAAAAGGGGGCUGAGGAAUGUGUACAGUGUAGGCUUGACUUUUCAAAGCCUGGAGUUUUUUCUCUUGCACUUUAUUUGACUUGGCUGUCCACCUGCACGGGGCUAUGUCUGUCCUGAAGUGGAGCAAGUACAGAAAGCGCUCCGCAGACUCCAUCUAUGACAUGCUUCAUCUGAGCAGGAAGCUGUGAGUCAUCGUGUCGCAGAGUUGCCCCAUAAUCACCAGCGUGCUCCACAAGGUAUUAAGGAAAUAAAACACUGCAUGCGUAAGCUCCUUCGAUGCAAGUCUGAUCUCGACUAGUUGGACUCAACCUGACUUUGACAAACUACCCUGAGUGUUCCUGCAUGAUUGACUGCUGGAGAACUUUCUCUCUUACCUUCUGAAGCUGCGACAUCGUUCUCCUGUCAGUUUCUGAGGGCAGAUAUGCAAUCUUUUCUCUACUUUAUCAGUGCUUUGCUGAAUCUAAUUGCAUGUAAUCUAUAUUUCACAAGCUGGAGGAAACAAUCGAAUGACAUCUCACGAUUUAACCUAAGAUGGCCUCUGUGAUUUGCAAAUUGUUCACAAUAUUUUAUAGUGAAAGCUUCAUUCUUUUCUGCGAUGUUCCUGCUUUGUCUCUUUGCCAUGUCAUGACUGUUCAUGCACUCCUCAGAGCUGCAAGGGUGUUAAUUAGGCAAAACUGUGAAAACUAUGACUACUCUGUGACUGUCUUGGUAAGCCCAGUAAAACUUGAUGAGCUGAACUGACGAAAUUAGCGAGACAGAAUCAGAUUCAUGUGCCUAUAUUAAUUUAGUUUUUGCUAUACAACAACAUAUUAAUGAUUUUCAAAACCGUCAAAAUUUAACUUUAAAUUUAAAAAAUACAGAUAUUUGUAAAAGUAGACAUAGAUAGAGCUUUAAAAUCUGAUUCGGACUUUAUAACAUUUAUGGUUUAUGAAUUUAUGGAUGUGGUAAAGUGACAUAAAAAUGUCAAAUAUGCUUUAAUGUAAUUUAUGUUUAUCAAGGGUUUGCUUUGGUUUGCACAUGAUUUUACUCGGGUACAAUGUGAUGCAUAAAGUCAGAGUUCUCUGACUGCAACAUUUUAGACUGAAGUGUGCUGAGGAUGGGAGCAACUGACAUUUUUCUGUAUGUUGGAAGAUUUAAUGUGCAAAAGUGUAAAGAAUAGCGCAGUUGGCUGUGUAAAUAUAAUAAAACCGAAAUAAAGUGCUGUUUUAGAUUUGA